UAAGGGGUCUCAUGUCACUAUAUGUAUGGUCACUGCAACAUAAUAAAUGUCUAUAAUUGACUAACAAGUUUUAGAUAUAACGCAAUAUUACGAUCGUUUCAUUGGACAUAAAUCAGCGGCACAUGCCAUUUGGCAACACAAUGCCAACUACAAUAACGACAGGGCUAAAGAGUAGAAGGCACGACUUGUUGCAAGCCAGUCGACUUCUUCGGGCUGGUGUAGAGUGGAAUCUGCAUAAUUGUGAGGAUCAUGCUUUGCACCAUAAAUCGAUUGAGUUUCUGUAUAUCACCUUUGGAGGCUGGGAUAUGGGCCGAUCCUGUUUUUAACGGGUAUCGGGUAAUUAUGGUCUGAUUCCGGACAGGCACCGAUAGAGGCGGUCACCACAUCCAAGGAAGGCUUUACUCGCCCAAAUUACUCCAUCCUGAUACUAGGAGGUAGAGACAAAAACUAACAGUGCUCGGGCUCUUUGAGUCGGGCAUCUGGAAUGAGAUCUAUUUAAGCCUUUAGCGAGGAUCAUUGGUGGGUACGUCUGGUGCCUCCGCCGCGGUAAUUCCUGCUCCCAGAGCUCAGUUAGGUUGUUGCAGUUAAAUGCUCGUACUGGGACUCUGCUACGGAUGCCCUGUCCGCACCCCUUCUUAGUGCGUACCUAUAGAUGUUCGAGGCUUCCC
rnacentral:ncRNA from 1 species